rnacentral:rRNA from 1 species
GAUGAACGCUGGCGGCGUGCCUAAUACAUGCAAGUCGAGCGAACAGACGAAGAGCUUGCUCCUCUGACGUUAGCGGCGGACGGGUGAGUAACACGUGGAUAACCUACCUAUAAGACUGGGAUAACUUCGGGAAACCGGAGCUAAUACCGGAUAAUAUAUUGAACCGCAUGGUUCAAUAGUGAAAGACGGUUUUGCUGUCACUUAUAGAUGGAUCCGCGCCGCAUUAGCUAGUUGGUAAGGUAACGGCUUACCAAGGCAACGAUGCGUAGCCGACCUGAGAGGGUGAUCGGCCACACUGGAACUGAGACACGGUCCAGACGCCUACGGGAGGCAGCAGUAGGGAAUCUUCCGCAAUGGGCGAAAGCUUGACGGAGCAACGCCGCGUGAGUGAUGAAGGUCUUCGGAUCGUAAAACUCUGUUAUUAGGGAAGAACAAAUGUGUAAGUAACUAUGCACGUCUUGACGGUACCUAAUCAGAAAGCCACGGCUAACUACGUG